ACAAGAUCAGAGAGAAGACCUAAUUGAACUGAAAACAUCAGAUAAGAAAGGGGUAUUUAAGAAAGCAUAUAAAUUCUAGUUUCAAUGGCUGAGAUUCCAAAGAAGAUGUUUAUUUGACAAAAGUAUUUCUGGCUGUUGAACAUUCUUUCUUUUCUCACAUAAAUUCAGGGGUGGGGGGUGGGAAUCAUACUUUUAAAAAAUAGUUUAUUAGUGUCGGCACCGAUAAUCCAUGCAAGAUAUAUCAAGUCACACUUCAUGAAUAAACACACUGUAUGCUGAGCAACUGAAGAAAAAAAAAUCACAUGAUGAUCUGCUUCAAACCUUAUUUAAAAGUAAGGUCACUUGUGGUAUCAUAUCAAUAUUUCCGUACAGGUUUUUUAAAAAAAAUCAAAGCAAAAGCUUAACAAGACUGCAGUAGAAAGCAAAUCACUCAAUCACAGAGGUUAAUAACUUUGUUUAAAAAAAUAGCAUCUAUUAGAGGGACAUCUUAUCUCACCUGAGUCCCAACAUCAUUUUUAUUUUGUGUUUUAGCACUGAAUACAAAGAAAGUUUUAAAUAGAGUGUAUUACCCAAGAAGGACCAAAGGAAUUUCAUGGAUGGAUAGAGUAAUUAUAGAUAGAUAGAUAGAUAAAUUUUUUGAUUCCAGUGAUUAAUUGGUUGUGGUAGACUUCCUUUCAGAAUUAGGAUUUAAGCAAAAUGCAUCGUCCUAAGGCUAAAUGGAAGAUGGAAGGCAAGCCACAAAUUAAUCAGAGUUUUAUCACAAAAUUCAACAGAAUCUGUGUUAUGUCCCAAAAACUUUUCAACUGUUUUCUGCCCAUUUCAGCUAGACCAAAAAUAUUAGCUACAAUAUGUAGGAUCAUGCUUCUGUGGGUCUCUUGAUUUCAAUGGAUUUGCUUCUUCUUUAGGCGAUUCAAUAUCUAAUCGUCAUUGACUUGGAUGUCACUGAUGUAACCUAUCAAAUUUUCCAAAUCAGUUAAUAGGCAAAUUUUAUUAUUUGGUCAUUCACAGGUACAGUAUUAGGAAGAAAAAGGCAAAAGGUAGAAAAAAAAGCGGAACCAAAGGAUAACAAGUUUAGUUUAGCAUAAACAAUGGUAAUUGUUACAUCUGUCAUAAAGAUAAAUUUGGUAUGUAGUCCUCCAGUGUUUCUCCUGCUGUAGAACAACAAAUUUACUAUGUGUCUAGGACUAUUGUUCUAUAUAAUUUAAAAAAAUGUAAGGAUACAUGGCUGGAUUCUACUCAAAUAAAAAUUGAUCAUAAGAAAAUAUACUAAGCAGCCCAAUGUCAAAAAUCAACAGUCUACUUGGAGUAAGAGACCUAAUCUGGAGCAAUUAUUUUGCUGUAGCAACUUCUAUUUAUGUGUAACUUGGGUUGACAAAAUCAGAAAUGAGGAGGUAAUAAGGUGCCUGGGGAAGCCAAGGGAAAUCAUCAAAACCAU